UACAUCUGAUGCUCGUCUGCAUUACCCAUGAUUCACCUUUCCAUCCCUGAAAAUACAAAACUCGUUUUUAGCCGCAGUGACUUCAGAACUCCAAACUCACUCUGCUGCCUCAGUUAGUUGUCUGGUUUUUAUUCCCAGUCCAGGCCCCAGCUGCAUAAUACCAAAUAGUGGCAACGGAAUGGGAAUUAUCUAUUAACAUGACUUCGUGUUUAGAUGAAUUUCAUUCAGUAUAAAUGAGUAAACAGCUGGUAUGCAUCUGCUGAUGGAGCUGGGUGGGCUCUUGCUGAUCUGAGCUCAGCCUUCUCGUUAGCCACAGCUUUUUUUCUCUCUCUUUCUUUUUGCUUAUGUAACUUUGAUUUUAGCAACAGUUUUCUUCCCCUUGCCCUUUUGUUGAUGUUUUAAAUUAGUGUGUGUAUGCCGGUGGCUCCAGUUAGUGUGGCUUUAUCACAUUUAUCUUUGUCUCUGUGGGAUACGAACAUGUGUAUUCAAUUUGGAUUCCUGCUUGACUAAAUUAAGGGCAGAAAAGAGUUAGUCUUUUUUUUUUCUGUCAACAUCUUGAAUGGGUCUGGGCCAGAAGGAGGUUCUCACCGCAUUUAUGCAGAAUGUGUAUCAUGAUUAAACAUUUUUUUUAUCAGAAAUGUAUCAAUUGCUUCUGAUCUUGCUAGAAUAACAGAAGAAUUUGAUUAUUAUCGUUAUGACGAUGUUAUCUGCCUCUGUUUUGGGGGUGACUUAUUUUAUUUAUUUUUUUUACUUUUUAUCAAGUGAGGUGUAUGUGUUAGAUUUCAGUGUAAGCAAUUUCUGUGUUACAGUUUUUAAAUUAUGUUACAAACACACUCAUCUGGAUCCUAGCCCCACAUCAGACAUAGAAACACCUGCAGGCAUGGCGAGUUACUGGGAUGUUUAACAUCUUGGGUCAUUUACCUCUGUACCUCUGGGACAAAGACGUUUCUAGAAAUAAUCGAAGGGGAAAAUUUAAGGAAAACUGCAAUGACUGUAAAAAAUGAACUCCUCAAAUUCUUAAAAUAAUUUAACAUGAUGCAAAAAAAGAAAAGAAAACGUUUGCCAAAAAAUUACUUAUUAAUUAAAGAAAUGUGUGAGGGUUAAGGACCAAAUGUGACUUCAAGUCAAAAAAACAUCAUCCUUUCAGUGUAUCUGUUCAUGCUUGUAUUGGUGUUCACGAUUGGAAAUAUUC